AGAUUAUAAUCUCAUUGUCCAGAAACAGUAAUCACCUCAGAUCUUCUCACAGUUUGCUUUCUGAAUCUCCAUGUGAUUCACUGCAUUCACCAGUCACCACCCUUUUAUCAAUAACUUCAUAUUCCUUUCUGAGCUUAUUUUAGGCGAAUAAGCAAAUUUUCUUCACUCUGUGGCUGGUCAAAACCCAAUGUUUUUUCACCUGAAACCAGUUUUGUAAGGACUGCCCCAAAGCUAUUAACAUUUCUCUCAAGGUUCUUGUGUGUAAGUAUUCUUGAUCCAAGUAAACGAAAGUGCUUAGUACUUACUAGUGUUGUUAGUAGUUCUUUGUCUCCUCUUUAUUGCUCCAACUGAGUUAUUUAUACUCAUCCAGAGUCAGAUUAUUCCACUAGCAAUAUCAUUUCUCAUUUCUCUUAUCUCUUUUCACAAAAAGGCUCUCAAUUAGAUAAGGCCAAAGAUCUCAUCAAUCACGAGCAUCUCUGAUACGAUUGAUGUAUC